ACACGACUCUCGGCAACGGAUAUCUCGGCUCUCGCAUCGAUGAAGAACGUAGCAAAAUGCGAUACCUGGUGUGAAUUGCAGAAUCCCGCGAACCAUCGAGUUUUUGAACGCAAGUUGCGCCCGAGGCCUUCUGGCCGAGGGCACGUCUGCCUGGGCGUCACG
rnacentral:rRNA from 1 species